ACUGCCCCUAGAAGCAUUGGAGGCGUGGCUGCUGUUCACAUAUAUGCCAGUAGGUGGCAGAAAAGAGAGAGGCUAGGUCUAUGCUCAGUGUUCUAAAUUGUGAACCUCUGAAUGAUUAGUAGCCUAACAUU
ensembl:snoRNA LOC120101291 small nucleolar RNA SNORA17